GGAAUAUUGGUCAAUGGAUGCAAGUCUGAACCAGCCAUGCCGCGUGCAGGAAGAAGGCCUUCUGGGUUGUAAACUGCUUUUGCCGGGGGAUAAAAUUCCCAUGCGUGGGACAUUGAAGGUACCCGGUGAAUAAGCCACGGCUAACUACGUGCCAGCAGCCGCGGUAAUACGUAGGUGGCAAGCGUUGUCCGGAUUUAUUGGGUUUAAAGGGUGCGUAGGCGGCCUAUUAAGUCAGUUCUGAAAUAUCCCGGCUUAACCGGGAGGGUGGGAUUGAUACUGAUGGGCUUGAGUGGAGUCGAGGUAGGCGGAAUUGACGGUGUAGCGGUGAAAUGCUUAGAUAUCGUCAAGAACACCGAUAGCGAAGGCAGCUUACUAGGCUGUAACUGACGCUGAGGCACGAAAGUGUGGGGAUCAAA
rnacentral:rRNA from 1 species